rnacentral:rRNA from 1 species
AUUGAACGCUGGCGGCAGGCCUAACACAUGCAAGUAGAACGAGUGGCGGACGGGUGAGUAAUGUCUGGGAAACUGCCUGAUGGAGGGGGAUAACUACUGGAAACGGUAGCUAAUACCGCAUACCAUCGGAUGUGCCCAGAUGGGAUUAGAUAUUAGGUGGGGUAAAGGCUCACCUAGGGGACGAUCCCUAGCUGGUAUGAGAGGAUGAGAAGCAACAUGUGAACUGGGACACGGGCCGUAAUCCGACGGGAGGGCGCAGUGGGGAAGAUGUGACAAGUGGCGCAAGCCUGAUGCAGCGAUGCCGCGUGUAUGAAGAAGGCCUUCGGGUUGUAAAGUACUUUCAGCGGGGAGGCGUUACCCGCAGAAGAAGCACCGGCUAACUCCGUGCCAGCAGCCGCGGUAAUAC